UUGCCUGCUCGGAUGCGAGCCAAGGGCCGCGUCGUCGCCUCCGCGUCACGGUUGUGGGCCGUCCUUGCGGGCGCCGAGGCCGAAGGACGCCGCUGCGUGCGCGCCCGAAGGAGUCGCGCUAGACUGCGUCGCCUUGCUUUGCUGACGCGCAUGGAGCAAGUCACCUACGCCGGAGGGACGAGCCGCCGCGGCGCGCGCGCUCCAGGGGGCGCCGGCCGGAAGCCGCGACAAUUCCCUCAGCAGGCGAGGCCAUGGGCGAAGUCGCUCCGCGUCAGAUGCGGUGGCCGCGUCGUGCGCCAGGGGGCUUCACCGCGGAGGACGGUCUAGGAGCCGCGGCCUCAGGUGCCUCCGCGCGGGCAGCGACCGCGUCGCGGAGCGGCUGCGAAACCGGUGGUUCCGGUGUCCCAGUCCAGCGCGGGGCCAAGGCCAAAGGAAACAGAUGCCAUCGUCGCGAUGCGACUCGAUGUGCGGCAGCGCCGUCGCCGGGGAGUGCAUCGCCAAAACGCUCUGCCGGGCCGCGCCAGAGCCGGAGUACAGCGCGCACGCGCUGCACGCCUGGCUGCGCGCCGGAGGGCGUUGCCUCGCUCGCGCUGUGGAAUGCGAGGAUGCAAGCCGCUGCCAGCCUAAACCGAGCGCCGUCGGCUGUUGUGGUCUGGCGAAGAGCGGACGUCGUCUAGGACGAUCCCAGGCUAACGGCUCUGGAAGAUGGAAUUGAAGAUCUUCUGAGUUGAUGUCGCUCUCCUUUGGAUUUCUUUUCUGUCAAGAGUGUUGCAGGCACGGCGGCCUGGCCGGCGGCGUCGGAGUCCGUUGCGAUCCAGGGCCAUUGAGUUCGUGGAAUAGCCCUCGCCUCUGUGCGUGCGUAACUGCCGUCUCGGGCAUGGCCCUUUUCUUUCGCUGUACGCCGAUAGAAUUGCUCCGCCGGGAGCGUGUUAAAGAGAAACGAGAGAGGGAGACAGAGAAGUAAAAGUGAAUCCUUGUUUUCAUUGAUGAUGGGUUACACAUAUAUAUAGCCCUCGAAGGGGUGUCUUCGAAGGGACACGAGGCAACUGCCUUCUUUAGAAAAAGUAGGGAUUAAUAAGAUUAAUUAAAUCCUAA